rnacentral:rRNA from 1 species
GACGAACGCUGGCGGCGUGCUUAACACAUGCAAGUCGAACGAAGAGCGAUGGAAGCUUGCUUCUAUCAAUCUUAGUGGCGAACGGGUGAGUAACGCGUAAUCAACCUGCCCUUCAGAGGGGGACAACAGUUGGAAACGACUGCUAAUACCGCAUACGAUCUGACCUCGGCAUCGAGGAUGGAUGAAAGGUGGCCUCUAUUUAUAAGCUAUCACUGAAGGAGGGGAUUGCGUCUGAUUAGCUAGUUGGAGGGGUAACGGCCCACCAAGGCGAUGAUCAGUAGCCGGUCUGAGAGGAUGAACGGCCACAUUGGGACUGAGACACGGCCCAGACUCCUACGGGAGGCAGCAGUGGGGAAUCUUCCGCAAUGGACGAAAGUCUGACGGAGCAACGCCGCGUGAGUGAUGACGGCCUUCGGGUUGUAAAGCUCUGUUAAUCGGGACGAAAGGCCUUCUUGCGAAUAGUUAGAAGGAUUGACGGUACCGGAAUAGAAAGCCACGGCUAACUACGUGCCAGCAGCC